AUUUGACAUUUAGCUAAAACUCACUACAUUGUUUAUCACCGCAAGCAGGUGUGAAGAAAAUUACUUUAAAAUCAUCAAUUAAUACAUAAAUAUCAAUCAAAAAUGGCUGCGAAAGUUUCAUCAGGCAAUAAUAAAGUCUUCCAAGCGGACGAUGUGCACAUCUCAUUUGAAGACCAACAGAAAAUCAAUCGUUUUGCAAAGCACAAUGCCCGUAUGGAUGAUCUCAAAAUGGAAUUGGACAUGAAAAAGAACGAUUUAAAGAGUGUCGAGGAGGCACUGGAUGAAAUCGAGCUUUUCGACGAAGACGAAGAAAUACCAUUCUUGUUUGGUGAAGUUUUUCUCACACACAAAUUGACAAAAACACAGGAAUUAUUGGCUGAGGUUAAAGAGCAAACAUUAAAGGAAAUUGCGGCAAUUGAAGUGAAAGCUAACGAAAUCAAAGCCGAAAUGAAUGAAUUAAAAUCACAUUUAUAUCAACGUUUUGGCAGCAAUAUUUCGUUAGAGAGCGAGGAUUAGCUUGUGUAAAAUUGUAACAGUCAAAAAUUAGUAAGCAACUAAUAUUGAUUCAAAUAUAAAACUAUUCAGUCUGAGUGCCAAAAAUGAACAUGAGAUUGUCGCUUGCAUUUUCCAGGCAAGCAGCCUAAAAAUAUAGAUGUUUAAUAUAUAUAAACAUGGUAUUAAAAAUGAAAAUACCUCCAAGAAAUUUGUGUCGAAA